AGAAAUAUGUUGAGAAGAAGAAGUAAAAAAGCGUUUGUCUUUAGAGAGACUGUGGAUGGUGAAAACAGUUGUCAGCACUUUUUGAAAUGCAUCUUUGAAUAGUUUCAGCGAUAUGUAGCUGAAAACGGCCAACAACCGUUAUCUGUUUUGAGGCAGGGAAACCUGUGAAAAAAAGUGGAACCACGCAUAAGCGUCUUUUAA
rfam:Enterococcus haemoperoxidus ATCC BAA-382 genomic scaffold acvJN-supercont1.3, whole genome shotgun sequence.